rnacentral:rRNA from 1 species
GAUGAACGCUGGUGGCGUGCCUAACACAUGCAAGUCGAGCGAUUCUCUUCGGAGAAGAGCGGCGGACGGGUGAGUAACGCGUGGGUAACCUGCCCUGUACACACGGAUAACAUACCGAAAGGUAUGCUAAUAUGAGAUAACAUGCUUUUAUCGCAUGGUAGAAGUAUCAAAGCUUUUGCGGUACAGGAUGGACCCGCGUCUGAUUAGCUAGUUGGUGAGGUAACGGCUCACCAAGGCGACGAUCAGUAGCCGACCUGAGAGGGUGAUCGGCUACAUUGGAACUGAGACACGGUCCAAACUCCUACGGGAGGCAGCAGUGGGGAAUAUUGCACAAUGGGCGAAAGCCUGAUGCAGCAACGCCGCGUGAGCGAUGAAGGCCUUCGGGUCGUAAAGCUCUGUCCUCAAGGAAGAUAAUGACGGUACUUGAGGAGGAAGCCCCGGCUAACUACGUG